UACGGAGGGUCCAAGCGUUAUCCAGAAUCAUUGGGUUUAAAGGGUCCGUAGGCGGUUUUGUAAGUCAGUGGUGAAAGCCCAUCGCUCAACGGUGGAACGGCCAUUGAUACUGCAAGACUUGAAUUAUUGUGAAGUAACUAGAAUAUGUAGUGUAGCGGUGAAAUGCUUAGAGAUUACAUGGAAUACCAAUUGCGAAGGCAGGUUACUAACAAUAUAUUGACGCUGAUGGACGAAAGCGUGGGUAGCGAACAGG
rnacentral:rRNA from 1 species